rnacentral:rRNA from 1 species
CGAUAACGGCGUCGAGCGGCGGACGGGUGAGUAAUGCCUAGGAAAUUGCCCUGAUGUGGGGGAUAACCAUUGGAAACGAUGGCUAAUACCGCAUGAUGCCUACGGGCCAAAGAGGGGGACCUUCGGGCCUCUCGCGUCAGGAUAUGCCUAGGUGGGAUUAGCUAGUUGGUGAGGUAAGGGCUCACCAAGGCGACGAUCCCUAGCUGGUCUGAGAGGAUGAUCAGCCACACUGGAACUGAGACACGGUCCAGACUCCUACGGGAGGCAGCAGUGGGGAAUAUUGCACAAUGGGCGCAAGCCUGAUGCAGCCAUGCCGCGUGUGUGAAGAAGGCCUUCGGGUUGUAAAGCACUUUCAGUCGUGAGGAAGGUAGUGUAGUUAAUAGCUGCAUUAUUUGACGUUAGCGACAGAAGAAGCACCGGCUAACUCCGUGCCAGCAGCCGCGGUAAUACGGAGGGUGCGAGCGUUAAUCGGAAUUACUGGGCGUAAAGCGCAUGCAGGUGGUUUGUUAAGUCAGAUGUGAAAGCCCGGGGCUCAACCUCGGAAUAGCAUUUGAAACUGGCAGACUAGAGUACUGUAGAGGGGGGUAGAAUUUCAGGUGUAGCGGUGAAAUGCGUAGAGAUCUGAAGGAAUACCGGUGGCGAAGGCGGNCCCCUGGACAGAUACUGACACUCAGAUGCGAAAGCGUGGGGAGCAACAGGAUUAGAUAC